UACAGAGGUCUCAAGCGUUGUUCGGAUUCAUUGGGCGUAAAGGGUGUGUAGGUGGCGCCGUAAGUCGGGUGUGAAAUUUCGGAGCUUAACUCCGAAACUGCAUUUGAUACUGCGGUGCUUGAGGACUGGAGAGGAGACUGGAAUUUACGGUGCAGCAGUGAAAUGCGUAGAGAUCGUAAGGAAGACCAGUGGCGAAGGCGGGUCUCUGGACAGUUCCUGACACUGAGGCACGAAGGCCAGGGGAGCAAACGGG
rnacentral:rRNA from 1 species